rnacentral:rRNA from 1 species
GGAUUAAUACCUCAUAGUAUUUCGGAUCGCAUGAUUUGAUUAUUAAAGUUACCAACGGUAAAAGAUGGGCAUGCGUCCUAUUAGCUAGAUGGUAAGGUAACGGCUUACCAUGGCUACGAUAGGUAGGGGUCCUGAGAGGAGAUCCCCCACACUGGUACUGAGACACGGACCAGACUCCUACGGGAGGCAGCAGUGAGGAAUAUUGGACAAUGGGCGCAAGCCUGAUCCAGCCAUGCCGCGUGCAGGAAGAAGCAUCUAUGGUGUGUAAACUGCUUUUGUACGGGAAGAAACACUCCUACGUGUAGGAGCUUGACGGUACCGUAAGAAUAAGGAUCGGCUAACUCCGUG